UCUCCGCUGUCAGAGUGCCGGGGUCGCCAUUGUUACUGCUUCUGACUUCGGCGCUGGUCGGAGCCCAUGCGCGGCUCCUUGUCGGGGGGCAGCCCUCCCUCACCCCUAGCGAGGGCCUCCGAAGACUGAGGUGGGGGAGGCCCCGAGCUGGGGCUCCAGUCCAUUCCGCCAUGAGCAAACGGAAGGCGCCGCAGGAGACUCUCAACGCAGGCAUCACCGACUUCCUGACGGAGCUUGCAAAUUAUGAGAGGAAUGUGAACCGAGCAAUCCAUAAGUACAGUGCUUACAGAAAAGCAGCCUCUGUGAUAGCCAAGUACCCAAGCAAAAUAAAAAGUGGAGCGGAAGCAAAGAAGCUGGAUGGAGUAGGAACAAAAAUUGCUGAGAAGAUUGAUGAGUUUUUAACUACUGGAAAAUUACGUAAACUGGAAAAGAUUAGGGAGGAUGAUACAAGUUCAUCCAUCAAUUUGCUGACACGAGUUAGUGGUAUUGGUCCAUCUGCUGCAAGGAAGCUUGUAGAUGAAGGAAUUAAAACAUUGGAAGAUCUUAGGAAAAAUGAACGCAAAUUGAACCAUCAUCAGCGAAUUGGGCUGAGAUAUUUUGAAGACUUUGAGAAGAGAAUUCCUAGGGAAGAAAUGUUACAAAUGCAAGAUAUUGUACUGAAUGAAAUUAAGAAAGUUGAUUCAAAAUACAUUGCUACAGUUUGUGGAAGUUUCCGACGAGGUGCAGAGUCAAGUGGAGAUAUGGAUAUUCUCCUUACCCAUCCUAGCUUCACUUCUGAGUCAACUAAACAGCCCAAGCUGUUGCAUCAAGUUGUAGAACAACUACAGAAAGUCCACUUCAUCACAGAUACUCUGUCAAAGGGGGACACAAAAUUUAUGGGUGUUUGUCAGCUGUCAAGUGAAGAUGAGAAAGUUGCAUAUCCAUAUAGAAGAAUUGAUAUCAGAUUGAUUCCCAAGGACCAGUAUUACUGUGGUGUUCUUUACUUCACUGGCAGUGAUAUUUUCAAUAAGAAUAUGAGGGCCCACGCCCUAGAAAUGGGCUUCACAAUCAAUGAGUAUACGAUCCGGCCCUUGGGAGUCACUGGAGUUGCUGGAGAACCCCUCCCAGUUGACAGUGAGAAAGACAUCUUUGACUAUAUCCAGUGGAAAUACCGAGAACCCAAAGACAGAAGCGAGUGAUGCCUGUGUCAAUGCCAAGAACCACCACACAGCAAUCUUUAUUUCUUGAACUUUACUGUGAACCUCAGUUUUCAUGUACAUUGAAGAACACAGACAAAGAACCAGCUCCUUUUCCACCAUGGUUUACAGUAGUAGUUUCAAAGUAUCAGAUA